GAUGAACGCUGGCGGCGUGCCUAAUACAUGCAAGUCGAGCGAACAGACGAGGAGCUUGCUCCUCUGACGUUAGCGGCGGACGGGUGAGUAACACGUGGAUAACCUACCUAUAAGACUGGGAUAACUUCGGGAAACCGGAGCUAAUACCGGAUAAUAUAUUGAACCGCAUGGUUCAAUAGUGAAAGACGGUUUUGCUGUCACUUAUAGAUGGAUCCGCGCCGCAUUAGCUAGUUGGUAAGGUAACGGCUUACCAAGGCAACGAUGCGUAGCCGACCUGAGAGGGUGAUCGGCCACACUGGAACUGAGACACGGUCCAGACUCCUAAGGGAGGCAGCAGUAGGGAAUCUUCCGCAAUGGGCGAAAGCUUGACGGAGCAACGCCGCGGGAGUGAUGAAGGUCUUCGGAUCGUAAAACUCUGUUAUUAGGGAAGAACAAAUGUGUAAGUAACUAUGCACGUCUUGACGGUACCUAAUCAGAAAGCCACGGCUAACUACGUG
rnacentral:rRNA from 1 species